CCGCGAUAUCGUUUCCAUACUAUAGUAGUAUUAUUAACAUUUACUUGGAUCAAUGAGCAUCCUUCCACUGGCAUACCAUACCAAAAACUGGGUUAAACAAAACAAUAAUGUUACAUGCACCAAAAGAUAUCCUAGUUUUCUAUAUAAUUUUUGUGAAACACCAAAGAACCAAAUACUAUGUAAAAUCCCACCAUCAACAAAUGGUGUCUUAAGUCAUUCAAGUCUUCAAGUUGUUACACAAUGGCAGUCAUAGUUCCAGAGGUAAAUAUCCACUGUCUUUGGCAUAAUAUAGUGCUACUGCUAGUAAAAUGAAGAACACAAUGAUCCACAAGCCUGCAAAUCAUAACAAGUGAUAAGUAAGUAAAAACAAUAAAAUAUCUAGAAACUGAUAAGUAGAAUCUCUCAACUUUGUGUCCAUACUA
rnacentral:lncRNA from 1 species